UCCGGUGAUGCUAUUUUGAAAGCUACUGCUGCAAGUGAGGCAAUAGAGAGAAUUUAUCAGGGGCUAGCUGUCGGGCCAAUUACAUUUCAGACCAAGUUUCAGCCACAUCUGGUCUGGGACCUCGAGAAGAUUCAAGAGAAU